CUGGUUGAUCCUGCCAGUAGUCAUAUGCUCGUCUCAAAGAUUAAGCCAUGCAUGUCUAAGUAUAAGCAAUUAUACUGCGAAACUGCGAACGGCUCAUUAAAUCAGUUAUCGUUUAUUUGAUAUUGCCUUUACUACAUGGAUAACCGUAGUAAUUCUAGAGCUAAUACAUGCGCCAAAUUCCAACCCCUCGUGGGAAGGAAUGUAUUUAUUAGAUAAAAAACCAACUCGGGACCUAAAAAAUCCCGGUUUAAUGGUGAUUCAUAAUAACUUUUCGAAUCGUAUGGCCUCGUGCCGACGAUGGGUCAUUCAAAUUUCUGCCCUAUCAGCUUUCGAUGGUAGUGUAGUGGACUACCAUGGCAUUAACGGGUGACGGAGAAUUAGGGUUCGAUUCCGGAGAGGGAGCCUGAGAAAUGGCUACCACAUCCAAGGAAGGCAGCAGGCGCGCAAAUUACCCAAUCCCAAAUCGGGGAGGUAGUGACAAUAUAUAACAAUACCGAACUUUUAAAGUUU
rnacentral:rRNA from 1 species